rnacentral:rRNA from 1 species
UACAGAGGGGGCAAGCGUUAUUCGGAAUUAUUUGGCGUAAAGGGCGCGUAGGCGGUUCUUCAAGUCUCUCGUGAAAUCCCUCGGCUUAACUGAGGACGUGCGGGAGAUACUGAAGGGCUUGAGUCCGGAAGAGGGUGGUGGAAUUCCCAGUGUAGCGGUGAAAUGCGUAGAUAUUGGGAGGAACACCGGUGGCGAAGGCGGCCACCUGGGCCGGAACUGACGCUGAGGCGCGAAAGCGUGGGGAGCAAACGGG